AGCCUUUCCUUAAACACCCCCAGGGACGGCGACUGCACCACCUCCCCGGGCAGCCCAUCAAAUCACCCUUUCUGUGAAGAAAUUCCUCCUAAUGCCCAAAGAUGACACAGCUCCCCAUUUUCUGUUCCCGUAAUGCGCCUACCACUCCGACACCUCUCUGCUUUAUCGCGCAUUUUAAGAAGUAACAAUAACGAAGCGGACACCACUUACGUGCUAUGGCGUUAGCCCCACGUCCAACACCCGCGUUUCAGCACGUCUCCCCGCCAGCUCCGACCUUCUGCUCCGCGCCGCGGCCAGCCGAGCACGCUUACCCAGCUUUGCCGCCACCGGCUCGGCCAGCACCCGCGCCGCCGCCCCUCAGACGCCGCGUGACGCGGCCGCCCGACCCCCGCGUGCCCCUCAGUCCUUCCGGGUUGGCGAGCACGGGCCCGCCCCCGCCCCGCCCCAAGGGGUUCCAUACGUGGCAAGGAAUUUGUUGUGAGGUCUGCUUGCAAUGGCGAGCCUUCUGCGUGUUGCUGUGGGUGGAUGCUCAGCUCCUGUUUUUGGCAAUGUGCUCCCGCCGAAGCCGCGUUCUGCAAAGGUGCUGUGCUUGCGAAUGUUUAGAACUUACCAGGUGCUUGGGUCUCAGGCAGCUCCAAAGCCAGAUCUGCAUUAGUACAGAAAAGACUUAAAAUAGAAAGAACAUUCUUAAAUCAUGUCAGCAGCAUACCUGAGUCAGUUGCAGCACAAUUCUAGUCUGGCUUUAUAGGGCUUACACAGAAGGUGUUUGUGUUUAUCAUGAAUACUUUGGAUCCACGUAGUUUUUACAGUUAGAGGGUUUGAGCUCCUGCUAAUACUUUCCUUGAUUGAAGGAAGUAUUUAAAUAAAUGCUUUUCUUAGUUCAAAUCCUGAGUUCCUCAUUAGUUUUGGUAGUGCAGCUAUUUGCAUGCAUGUGAGAAAAUACAGACCUCACAAAGACAGCAUCUGCUAGCAUGAGUAUUUGUAGACGUUAUUAUCCGAUCUUAAAAAAAACCUCUUAACUUUGUUCAGGAAACACAUUGUAUCACUUUGAAAAACUAUUGAUAUGUAUCUUCACGUGUAGGGUUUGUUAGUGUUUUUGCAAAAAUUGCAUUUCAGCAGAUAAUGGACAAGUUCUGGUAUUUUCAGGAAAAAAAAACUGGGAAAAGGGGCACUCUUAUUUCCAGUUUCUACUAUGAGCCUGGUACAUGAAGAUCAGAACUGACAAUUUUUUUCUCUAUUCUAUACUGUAUAUAACCUGACAGUUGGAAGGAAGACUGAAGAAUACCUAAUGUAGAUUUAACGCUAUUUUUGCCCAUUAUUACUGAAUGGGUCGUGUGUCCCUUGGAAUUUAGAGACCCUGCUUCUGUGGAUAUGAAGGAUCUUAGUCUGCAAAAGAUUAAUGUGGACAGUUAGACUGAUUGCACACAUGACAUUUGGUUCUUCUAAAUGUAGACAGUAGGUAACUGCAUUAGGUACUUGAGAUUAUAAGGAAAGUAGUGCUGUUGGAAACAGAAGUGUCUGGUUGUGAAAACAUGGGACACAAAAGUAGCAUGUAGUAGUUCAGAGAAGCCUGUGUUGUGUAGAAUUUGUGGCAGUACUAACAGUAAAUGGUGCAUUUUGUGGCCCUUUCAACCUGGUGACUGAAGAUUUUGGAACUUCUGAAGAAAUGUCAUGAGGGGAAGUUUCUUUACUCUGAGGGCUCCUGAUAAAUCUGUAUCGCAGUUGUGUGCUGAAAUCAGAAUGUCUUUGAUAGAUUUGAGAUGCUCUCAAUUUUUUUCCACGUUAAAUAUCAGAAUGAAAGAGACAUCUGUCAGUCUUCAUAUGGCAGAUUGUCCCUUGGUUGGGAGCAUAAACUGACACACAGGAAGCUAGGUUCAAAGUUCUUUCUCAAAUAUCCCAGGUAAGUGUCCUUGUUUGAGUUUGGAAUCAAUUUUGUAUUUGGCUUUGACCACAAAUUUAAUCAUGAAACUAAAGAGUCUCUUCUGUUUUACUGAAGUUGGUAUGCUACUCUGUGUGUGUGAAUUUUCUCAUUUUUAAGAAUAACUUUUGAAAAAUUUUCCCACAAGGAUGAAGAAUUCUGAUUAGUGUCAUGUUUAAAUGCUCAGUGCUGCCCUGUCAAAUCUGUUUUGUGGAAGCCCUUAUUUAAGAAUUAGUAAUAUUCAUGAAAUGCAGUUAUUUAAUGUGGAGAACUACAAGUUUGGUAGUCUUUUGGUUGAUAAUUAAGCUGCCCUUGUAGUAUGCUUUGGUAAUAUGUGAUUUGUCAUUUGGUAGAGGACAAAUCAAGGAGAAAACAGCAAUUUAAUGACAAAUUAGAAGCAGGGCUAUUGCUUAUAUUUACUUUUUAAGUGCUCUUGAAUCAAAAUGUGACAGAUUCAAAAGAACUGUGUUUUAGUCUUUCAGAGAUUAGCUUUGAUUAUUGUAACACUUGGUAAAAUCACUGUAUUACUAAGAAGAGUAAGUUUUCUGAAAAGACUGGUGUCACAGUGUUUCUUCUUAAGGCUGUAGUUAUUACUUUCCUUGUCUCAGGUUAGCUUUCGUUCCAUCCAGCCUAUGUUGUGUGCAAAAGCAAUAGCUGCUUGAGGAGAAGAAGUACGGAGAUACGUAGUCAGCUGAAAAGUGAACUUGGAGCAUAGAUAAUUUUCUUACUGCCAGCUUUUAUGCUGCUACUUGCUUAAUAGAAACAUAGGAACUUUCAUACAGGUGUAAACAAGUAUUCCCAUAAUCUGUGCCAGGUAGUCACUAGGACCAGCUACUUCAGAAACAGAUACAAAACUUUCUGAAGUUCUGGGAAAGGUGCAUAUGGAGUGACUGACUGAGCUUCCCAGUAUACUUCUAGAUUAAUUUGUCCUACAGCUCUAUGACUUUUACCCCUCUUUAUUUUGGGACUUUAAAUAUCCUUUUUAUUUUGAGGCUUAUUUCUUAAAUUUUCCUGUUUUUUCUAAACCUGUAACAGUUAAUUUUUAAUUAGUUCUAUAGGUAAGCUUUAUUUUAUUUAUAAACAAAGAAAUAUUCUCCUUUAAUUUCCCUUUUUAAAAAAAUCCUUAUUUAUGUAUCAGGAGGGAUCAGGUGUUCGUUUAAUCUUCUGUACCUUUUUUUUCUUUUUGCCAACAUCAUAUUGCUGUUCUUUGGAAUAUGUCCUCAUCUUCAGGACAGGUGAGAUGGUUUGUUUAAAGGUUAUUAGAGUAACUCUGAAAAUAGGCAUCCUGUUUUCAAUCCCAGAACACGUGGCAUAGAGUCAAAACUUCUCCUUUAUCUUUUCCUUAAGUCACUUUCUAUUGGUUGAUCCUGUUUUGUUGCAGACUACUUCCCAAAGUCAGGUUAAGGAGAUCAAAAAACUGUAUUUUCUGCUAUAGUUUUGAUUUAUAAUCUUCUCUAAGAUUUUUGUAGAUAGAAGUUACAUGGAGAAAGUCACAGUUAUAGUUUCGUUUGCUUGAAGUUUGAAUACGUCUUCAUUACACAGUUAGGAUUGUGCUAAGGGAAUGAAAGAGUGGCUUCUUACUAAUUUUUUGAAGUUAUAAGUUAUGUAUAUGCCAGAGCAUUUCACUGGAAUGUAUAUUCCAUUCUAAGACCUGUGAAAUGUAGUGAUUCUACUUCUGAUAGUGGCAGAAUCUAAGUACUGUGUAUCUUCUACUCAAUAUAUUAAAAAACUUAAUGAGUCAAAAAGGUGCUCCAGGUAUGUAAUAUUACUCAGUAUUUGGAAGAUGUCCAUGAUGUCGUAAAGCAGCACUAAAACAUACUCAAGGCAGUACUUAAAGAGAUUACCUGACAUGAAGGAUUAGAGAGAUAAUUUGUAGGCUUCACACUCUAACGUGACUUUAAAUACAUGGCAGGGAUAGCAGAUGGGCUUCCUCAAAAUAAAAACUAAAUCAAGAUGCUAAGUUUAUAAUUCUAGUUUUCAACCUUUCAAAACUAUUGACUUUGAUGAAAUUGCUGAAUCCAACAAACCAAAUCUGUGUUAAUCACAAAGCUUCCUCCAGCUAGAGUAUUGAUCAUAUGCUGUUGUGUAUGUCAGCGCAGACAGGCAGGUGGGACAGCCAUAAAGUCAUGUCUAGAAUCCAAAGGGUAAAUUUAUAGUUUAUUUCCAUUACUUCGCUAACAGGAUAUUGCUGGAGCAGCACCCGGGCAGAGGAAAACAAGCGGAGACACAGGCACCAGUAAAUCACCACAGACCUGCUGUUCACAUAGGCUUAUCAAGAGUUAUUUCCAGCUGAAAGGGAGCUUUGCAAUCCUCCAUGCCAGUGUUCCGCUUUUUAACCCUUUCUUCCCAAGACCUGUACUGCAGUUUUAAGAUAGAUCUUUGUUUUUGAGCUGUAGAUACCUGCUUAAUUUUGGUACUGAAUCAUGUGGAAGCUCGGGGCAGUCUACUUGAAAAAUGUCCUAUACCUACUCUAGCUAAAAGCUGGCAAACUGACAGUUUGCUUAUGUAUUCAUUUGCUUUUGUAUUUAUGGAUUGCUGGAGUUCUGGUAGUGGGAUAGAGAAGAAAAGUAGGUGAGGCAAAUGAGACUUGUUGGAUAUUUAUCUUGGAUUUGAUCUCCUAAAACUCUGAGAAGAGCAUGUUCCUCAAUGCUGGUCUGUCAUCAUUCUGUUUACUAAAUAAGGUGCAAAUACUUUCUAUCUGAAAAAGUUGUACUAAUUUUUAUUGCAUGCAAGAUGUACCAAUAAAGAAAGAAGUGAGGAAUGAGGAAACAUAUCUGGAUCUAGUGAAUGUAUAUUUCUGUCCUUUUACUCCUAGCCAUUUACUCUUCUAUUCUGAUACCCCACACAGAAGCAAAUGAGCAAAAGGAAGUUAGAAGCAUCUGUUAUCAUUUGAG
rnacentral:lncRNA from 14 species